rnacentral:rRNA from 1 species
GCGAUCAUACCAGCACUAAUGCACCGGAUCCCAUCAGAACUCCAAAGUUAAGCGUGCUUGUCCAAGAGUAGUACUAGGAUGUGUGACCCCCUGGGAAGUCCUCAUGUUGCACCCC